rnacentral:rRNA from 1 species
UACGUAGGGCGCAAGCGUUGUCCGGAAUUAUUGGGCGUAAAGAGCUCGUAGGCGGUCUGUCGCGUCGGCUGUGAAAGCCCGGGGCUCAACCCCGGGUCUGCAGUCGAUACGGGCAGGCUAGAGUGCGGUAGGGGAGACUGGAAUUCCUGGUGUAGCGGUGAAAUGCGCAGAUAUCAGGAGGAACACCGGUGGCGAAGGCGGCCUUCUGGACCAAUACUGACGCUCAUGCACGAAAGCGUGGGGAGCAAACAGG